AGUUAACGCUGGCAUCGUGCAUAACACAUGCAAGUCGAACGGGACUUUAAUUUGUAGCAAUACAGAUUGAAGUUUAGUGGCAGACGGGUGAGUAAUGUAUAAGUAACCAACCUUUAAGUGGGGAAUAACAAUCCGAAAGGGUUGCUAAUACCCCAUAACAUCUAAUAGCGGCAUCGUUAAUAGAUUAAAGAUUUAUCGCUUGAAGACGGACUUAUAUUCUAUCAGCUAGUGGGCAGUGUAACGGACUACCAAAGCGACGACGGAUAGCCGGCCGAAACAGCGGACGGGCCGAAAGGGCAGCGCGAGACGGGACAUACUCCUACGGGAGGCAGAAGUGGGGAAUUUUGGAGAAUGCGCGAAAGCCUGAUCCAGCAACGAUGCAUGGAGAAUGAAGGUUCUCGGAUUGUAAACUCCUUUUAAGAGGGAAUAAAAAAAUGACGGUACCUCUCGAAUAAGCCACGGCUAACAACGUGCCAGACGCCGCCGUAA
rnacentral:rRNA from 1 species